UACGUAGGGGGCAAGCGUUGUCCGGAUUUAUUGGCGUAAAGAGCGUGUAGGCGGCCAGGUAGGUCUGCUGUGAAAACUCGAGGCUCAACCUCGAGACGUCGGCGGAAACCAUCUGGCUAGAGUCCGGAAGAGGAGAGUGGUAAGUUCCUGGUGUAGCGGUGAAAUGCGCAGAUAUCAGGAAGAACACCCGUGGCGAAGGCGGCCCACUGGGCCGGUGCUGACGCUGAGGCGCGAAGGCGUGGGGAGCGAACGGG
rnacentral:rRNA from 1 species